AACAAACAUUCUGUUCAGAUUCUCUGUCAUAUGCCAGUGAUGCUUUUCAGGAGCUCCAGGUCAGUUUCCCUACCAAGUUUUAUGGUCUGCCGUGUUGUCCAUUCUGCACAGCUAUUUAAAAAAUGUUGAAUAUCAACAAUAGCUUUAACUGGGGCAUUGUCAACUUUUGUAUGUAGCAAUCUUGGCUGAAUGCGAUGGCUCCCAGUGCAGGGAGGGCUCGGCUCGGCGCUGCUGCGGAAUGGAAGACUGCCGCUCGCCUGCCCUUCUGUCUCUCGUCUAGACUCAAAGUGCCAUGGUUUGAGAGUCUUACCUGGCUCUCUUCAGAUAAACAGUCUUCAGGACCCUAAAGGCGCAGAGGGAAGGAUUAAGAAGAACGGCUGUGCAAUGGUGAACAGAUUCAUCCCUGGGCACCCAAUCCAUUAUCCUGUCAACAACAGCAGGUCCCUGCCACAGUUAGCAGCAACACUGGCCGUAAUGAAAUCACCAGUAAUCCCAAAACUCAUCUCAUCAUACCCAAGGUAGAAAAUCUUUUCUCUGAUUAUAUGAUACAAUGACAAAACAGUUAAACAACAGGCUGUGGACAUCAGUGGAAGGCACAGGAUGUAGUCUUCAACAGUGAAUUACCUGUAAAACAUUUGCCUGCAGGAAAUGGAAUCUGACUUAUACCUUUGGUGGUGAAGAAACUCAAAGAAAUGGAUAUGUGGAUUAUCAGUGAGAAAACUGGUUUAAUUUUUACACUGUCUAAUGCUGAAACCAUUUAAUUUCAACUCUAUUUUUCAGUUCUUGUAUUAUAUUUUUAAAAAUCUGUCUCUAACUCGUUGGGAAAUCUCAUGUUUAUAAUUUAAAAUGUGAAAUGCGAAAAGAUUUUUAUUUUUUUUAAUUUUGUUGGACAAACAUUAUAAUUUGAUUGAUUUCGAUGGCGAUCUGAAAAUUAAUUCUUCUAACGCAUUCGAGUAGGCUUUGAGUCCAAUGUAAUUCAAUUGAUAUUAUGUAUAUGUCUUCUGCAAGUGACUGAAUAAAAGAGCUUAAGCGCGGUUUACAAGCUUGCUAAGGAUGGACCGUGUCUUGUAAUAUUUAUAUAUUUAAAACCGGUUUAUCAUUACAUAUUUUAUUAUUUAUAUAGUUUGUUUCGAUUGCAAAAAUUUUGAGAAUUCACUUUUGAUUUUUAUUUGAACGUUUUUUUUCCUUUUAAUAAAUCUGUUAUAAAUACAAAGUUGUAAUUUUACACUGACAAGUUGCUGGUUUAUUUUCCUCAAAAUACCUCAAAUAAUUUAAAAUAAAAAAGUUAGGUGAAAAACAGCGUUGUCCUUUUAAAAUAGCGGUAUCAUAUGCUGCAAGAUAAAAACAGGAUAUAAUUCCAGCAGUUCGCAGUGACAUCUGAAAGAAGGUCAAAAUCAAGCCUCUUCUUUAAUUGACCAGUGAAUAUUAUUUUACCCGUGUCCCAACCAGAGGGGACGCAACCAUUCAGCAAAAUACAAUAGGAAUAACAGACCGUGUUGAAAAUGCAUCUUCAUUUGCAUAUUCGGUUCAAAAAUCAUGCAAAUCCCAAUGAGACGCUCUUUAUUGUGCCUGCAAUUGAAAAAUCAUUCUGUUAUCCAUGGUAACUGUGGCCUUAUUCGAAGCCGUUGAAUUGAAACAAAAAGUUAUUAAGUUCAUACGGUAUGACGUUUAAAUGGACUCCGGAGCCAUGGUUAAUGGUUCGGCGACGUAUGGACUAUUUGAUCUCAAAAAUGGGAGGUGCAAAUUAUUAUUUAUUAUUAUUACUAUUAUUUUAGUUUCGUUUUGGCUAGUGUUUAACGUAUUACUGUGCUGUUCCUAUUUUGCUAGACGUAAUAUGUAGCUAGGCCUUAUUCAAGUUUUUUCCAAAAUGUAGCCGAGGCUAUUCAUUAAUUCACUAAUUAAUAUGACUGUUUUUAUAUAUCCUUCAUAUAAAUUUUAUCUUAUUUUACUUUUUUAAGUAAAGUAGGCUACAAACAGUAAAAGUAUUCCUGUAUAAAUGACAAACAAUGUCUCAUUAGAACUCAAAAUCAUUUAAAAUAUUUAGAGUUUUCCCGCAUAAUUGUGGCUCUUGCUUUUCUCAAAGUGGGUGUGUCGCGUGCAGGAUUAUUGAACAAGCCUAUAGUUUACCAAGUUCACUUAUUUUAACUCUGUAUAGCGCGGACAACACCUGAUUAUACCCUUAUUAAUUUUUUCUGGCACUGUGUGCACUUUGCUAUAAUUUACUUCCACUUUAAUUGUUUAGGUCGAACUAAUUUACAAGUGAAUCCAUGGGCUCAAAAAAAAGGGACUUUAAACGGUGGUAAAGAAUAUUAGCCCUGUGGUGAUCUAUUGUUAGCCUAUUGUCUCUUCAAUAGUUCAUCACGACAUACGUUGUUAAAACAUUCAUCUAAUAAAAAUCUUGCAUACUAAAUUUUACAGCAAAAAUAAAAAAGUGACCUAUAAAUCAGCAAAUAACUGAUUUUAUUAUUAUUUUUUUUCAUGGUAAUUAACAAACAAUGGCCUCCUUAAGGUAUUUAUCUGCUGCACAGUGACAGUUUUAGUUUAUUCGGGUCAUUUGAACAGUCGCUUAUUCCCUAGGCUACUAAUGGACAAUUCACUACUCGGCCAUAUAAGGCUACACGUGAGUGAUUUUCGGAAGCCCUGUGGCUCGGAGCUCAAUGAUGUUGAACACUGCAGGCUUUCCUGGUGGUCCUCGGCCUUAGCUCACGUUAAUUAGGAAAUUUGGAGAACAGAAGCCCUCAUUACCGAGCUCCGGGUUACUGGGAGUUUUCCUUCUCCCGCUGUCUCCUACAUUUCCAUAAGCAGAUUACAAGAGGAUAUGUUCCUGAAACCACUCGGAUAAAUCACCGGUUUCGUGGAAUAAGUCUCUAUUUAGAAUUUUUAUAAUAACGGAUUGGGCACCGCUAUUCAUAGGCAAUGCAAAGUGACUAAUUGAUGUUCCAUAUGACAAUUGUAUUUUUUUCUUUAUUAUUUUUUUUAUAAUGAAAUUCCAUGAUGAAUAAUUUAUGCCGCUUUGCAAUUGGAAACCUUUGGCCUGAAGGACAUCCUCGAGUGACAACACUGGCACUUGUUAAGAGUAGUAGUUUGGAAAUUAUCCUAAAUAGCGGAGGCGUGUUGGUGUCCUAAAUGUCCUAAAAAUCAGUCACACACGGUGAAACUUCUCUAAAUGGCAGAGUCGUUAGUGUGUGGUGUUAAACGUCCAUCGUGAAUAUUCAGUGCUGUAAUCGGUUUUAGUGGCGUUGAAUGUGUUAAAUGACGAUGUUCUCGAUGGACGACGUGCUAAUACUGACCCACUGAAAGGUGUAAGUUCUCCCCAGGAGACAGAAAACUCUCAAAACCGAACACUUCUCGAGUCACGAAUCGCAUAAUAAGACGCGGGAUGAUUGCAAUUGACAGUGAUUGGUGCUGUAAAAAAAUAAUGAAUUAACAUAGGCUAUAGGUUACGCAACAUUGGCGUGGCAUUUGUAAAAAAAAAAUCGUUUUUAGAGGAGUUGUAGUUUUUGUCACCUCAAGAGGUUUUUUUUUUUCAUCAGAAAAAUAUAAAAUUGUUCCACAUGGGGGCGUUACUGUAUUAAUUUUCUAUGCUACACUAAGGAUGUCGUGGACACAACAAAAACUAUUUUUGUUGAAUGUUUUUUUUUUGUUAUACUAUUAAAGUGUAAUAAUAGGUUUUUGAGCUUUCAAAUAAAAUUUAGAAAAUAUUAGGAGACAAAGAAUUUAAGUAAUUCUCUUGAUGUUAAAAUCGUUGGCUAGCCUACUUUUAGGCUAAUUAAAGUUUUAAAAUCUUAUAUUCCCACCGUGUAAUUUUGUAUCAGAUUAUCUUAUUUAAGAAUAAUACUACUAAUAAUUUAAAUAAUAUAUUAAUGGUUAAGUAAGCCAAGGCAAAAAAGUUCAGUUUGAUGUAGCCAACCAAAAGUAAAACCAAGCUUUUGCAUUAGUGGAUACAUGAUGUAGCCUAUUUAAAUAUUAAGUUGUUAUUAAAUAGUAUUGUAUUUCAAUAUAUAUAUUGAACUUUUAAUUAAUUAAUGUAUUAUUUGUUUAAUUAAUGAUCAUGGUUGUGUGCCAUUGCCAGAGGCAAAGUUUAUAGUUGAAAUAUUUAUGUUUGAAUCCAAUAAAUUGGAAUCUAUCCUGAUUCUUGCCUUUAUUUUAGGCAAUAAAUUAAACAUGCUUUUUUCCUUUAGUUAUAUUCCAUUGAGCAGUUUCAGUAUUUUUCGGAGGAACAUUUGAAACCCAUAACUAUUUCAGUAACGCAAGGAUAACAUUCUUAGUGGAUAACGACCGCUUUAAAACAAUAUUUGCAAAGUGAUUACUUCUGUCAAAAGUGCAAAGAUGACCCUGAUGUAUUUUAUCCCACUUAUUAAAGUGCAUCCCGAGACACAGUGCACUGGCAGCGCUCUGCUUGGAUGGCGGACUGUGAGGCGCUCUCUGAUUGGUCGGCGCUGAGCUCAUUGUUAUGCUGUCAAUCCAAAUCACAUGGCCGAGCCUGUAAUAACAGCUGAGUUUAGCGCACAACUUUCCAGAGUUCCGUAGCAGAGCAGAGCAAGACACACGAGACUAGAGUGGAGGUAGUUGAAAGGAUCUGAAGCUUUUCACUUGACCAGAGUUUUGGUUCUCUUGAACUUUUGACUGACUACAUUCUACUUUAUUUUGUGAGGCUAUUUAAACUCCAUCGUUUUCUUUCGAGUGCUUGGC
ensembl:lncRNA